rnacentral:rRNA from 1 species
GACGAACGCUGGCGGCGUGCCUAAUACAUGCAAGUAGAACGCUGAAGGGAGAGCUUGCUCUUCUGGAUGAGUUGCGAACGGGUGAGUAACGCGUAGGUAACCUGCCUGGUAGCGGGGGAUAACUAUUGGAAACGAUAGCUAAUACCGCAUAACAUUGACUAUUGCAUGAUAGUCAAUUAAAAGGUGCAAUUGCACCACUACCAGAUGGACCUGCGUUGUAUUAGCUAGUUGGUGGGGUAACGGCUCACCAAGGCGACGAUACAUAGCCGACCUGAGAGGGUGAUCGGCCACACUGGGACUGAGACACGGCCCAGACUCCUACGGGAGGCAGCAGUAGGGAAUCUUCGGCAAUGGACGGAAGUCUGACCGAGCAACGCCGCGUGAGUGAAGAAGGUUUUCGGAUCGUAAAG